UACAGAGGUCUCAACCGUUGUUCGGAUUCAUUGGGCGUAAAGGGUGCGUAGGCGGUCGUGCAAGUCGGAUGUGAAAUCUCGGGGCUCAACCCCGAAACUGCAUUCGAUACUGCGUGGCUCGAGUACUGGAGAGGAGACUGGAAUUUACGGUGUAGCAGUGAAAUGCGUAGAUAUCGUAAGGAAGACCAGUGGCGAAGGCGAGUCUCUGGACAGUUACUGACGCUGAGGCACGAAGGCCAGGGGAGCAAACGGG
rnacentral:rRNA from 1 species